GGUGUUGUGGCAUAGUGGGUAAAGCCGUCGCCUGCAGUGCCAGCAUCGCAUAUGGGCGCGGGUUCAAGUCCUGUCUGCUCCA
rnacentral:tRNA from 1 species